CAAAUAAUUAAAGUAUUUGCACUUAUGUUUCCCGAAAUUGAAAAUUGAUACUGAUGAAUUCUCUUUAAACUACACUUUUGCAGAACUUGGUCAUUUUUCGUUAUUCUCGGACGAAGAUGAAUGACAAAGAGAGAAACACGAUAAGAAGAACCUUAACUUGCAUAAUUGAUAGGAGACAAAAAUUGUGACGAGAAGAUGUUUAAUCUGUCGAUUAAUACACAAAUUAGCUGAUUGAAUGAAGAAUGGACUAACAUCCUCAUCCAUCAGAAGAUUGAUAGUUACUCUUCCAAUAUGCAAGUCUGUAUAUAAUGUGUAUAAUAUUUUUCAAAUUUGUAUGUAGUACAGUAGCCGUAUAAUAUUUUGCAAGUUUGUAUAUAAUGUGUACCGUGUCUGUAUCUGCCUUUUUUUUUCCCUUUUUAAAUGUAUGUAUAACCAGUGUAAUGUAUCAAAGCAGUUUGUAUAUAAAAUGUUUCAUUUUUUCUCCUUGAUGA